GAUUUUUAACCCGGACGUAUUGACUUUCUAGACUAUUAAUUUUAUUCUCUAUUUCUUUUAUGAGUGCUUCAGAAGGGACUUGGCGUGCAUUUUGUAUCUCUACAAGAAAAGGACGGCCUGUACCGAGCAUCCGAACAUCAAUGUCCUCCCUACCGGCAGCAUGAAACUUAUAAUUGUCACCCUGGAAGAUAGGAAGGAUGGCCCCACCUAUUAUUUCCUCAACGGAUGCUUCUCCCAUUCGUUCAUCAUCAAUAACCCAGCGUGUCUGGCUCACAUUUCUCGAAUACUUAAGAUAUCUCCCUCCAAUGUAUGUAGAGCUUCUGCAGCAAUGAAUGGCCAGAGAACAAGGCUUACCGACCUUAUCUAACUUAGCCAUUAAGUUAUUACAACUGAGAUCUUGGGCCUCCUUGGGACAAACUUUAGUCAGUCCAUCUCCAUCAACAAUAUUACUAUCAAAAGACUCAACAUGAGGAGUAACAGAUUCCCCAGUUGUC
rnacentral:misc_RNA from 1 species